rnacentral:rRNA from 1 species
GAUCCUGGCUCAGGAUGAACGCUAGCGGCAGGCUUAACACAUGGCAAGUCGAGGGGCAGCGGGUCCAGCAAUGGAUGCCGGCGACCGGCGAAAGGGUGAGUAACGCGUGAGCAACGUGCCCGACACUGGGGGAUAGUCAUUGGAAACGAUGCGUAAUACCCCGUAACACAGGAGGCCGCAUGACUUCCUGUUGAAAGAUUCAUUGGUGUCGGAUCGGCUCGCGUGCCAUUAGGUAGACGGCGGGGUAACGCCCACCGUGCCGACGAUGGCUAGGGGUUCUGAGAGGAAGGUCCCCCACAUUGGAACUGAGACACGGUCCAGACUCCUACGGGAGGCAGCAGUGAGGAAUAUUGGACAAUGGCCGGAAGGCUGAUCCAGCCAUGCCGCGUGCGGGAUGAAUGCCCUAUGGGUUGUAAACCGUCUUUUGGCCGGGGAGCAAUAAGGCCCACGUGUGGGCCGACGAGAGUACCCGGCGAAUAAGCAUCGGCUAACUCCGUGCC